rnacentral:rRNA from 1 species
GACGAACGCUGGCGGCGUGCUUAACACAUGCAAGUCGAACGGAAAGGCCCUGCUUUUGUGGGGUGCUCGAGUGGCGAACGGGUGAGUAACACGUGAGUAACCUGCCCUUGACUUUGGGAUAACUUCAGGAAACUGGGGCUAAUACCGGAUAGGAGCUCCUGCUGCAUGGUGGGGGUUGGAAAGUUUCGGCGGUUGGGGAUGGACUCGCGGCUUAUCAGCUUGUUGGUGGGGUAGUGGCUUACCAAGGCUUUGACGGGUAGCCGGCCUGAGAGGGUGACCGGCCACAUUGGGACUGAGAGACGGACCAGACUCCUACGGGAGGCAGCAGUGGGGAAUAUUGCACAAUGGGCGGAAGCCUGAUGCAGCAACGCCGCGUGCGUGAUGACGGCCUUCGGGUUGUAAACCGCUUUCGCCUGUGACGAAGCGUGAGUGACGGUAAUGGGUAAAGAAGCACCGGCUAACUACGUG